CACAUUGGUGGAUGUGCAGAUGUCCCAUGGUGUCAUAUACAUUGUACAAACCUUAUUAUAUGCACAUAAUUGGACAAGUACUUUGAUGACUUACAACUCCUGUAACUGCAGAAUGUGCAUAAAUUGGCCCAUGUUGUCUAGGUAGAUGUUUCCCUUCCACGCUUUGAGUUGUGUGCUGUGAAACCAUUUGGUGACUCGUUUCUUCCCAGACUUUAAUUCCAGCUAGAAACCGCAAUUCUUCUGGAGCCUUGGCAGCACAGAUGGGGUGUGUUGCAGGGAUUAGAAUACCUGCUUCUCCGUGUUUGGCUUGAAUCAACAUCCUAUUAGCACUUCAGUGGCGGCGGCGAAGUCCAGGACCUCUACUCCGUGGGUAAUUGGAACCUGUGGAGGAGGAGCGCUGGAGAGUCCCUCGAUGACUGUUGGAACUGAAGAAGCGGACCAAGAACCCGCUGGAUGUUGGCGUUCCCAGGAGUAGGACAGUCCAGUGUAAAGGAGAAAGCUGUGUCCCUGAAAUCUUGUGAUGUAGUCAGCCUUAUGAAGGAACAUUAUGUUUGAAGAGGGAAAGCAAGAAAGUAUCCAAUCCUCUGAUCCUGCAGAUAGCUUUAAAUGGAUGCUGGGAUCCAGGCCUAACUGAUCAAUACUACCAAGGAGAUGGAUCCAGAUGGAUGUGAAAAAGAGAGGGAAGAGGAGGAACAAAUCUUGUACUCAGAAAUGUAGGGUUUUCUUUUAUGGCUGCUUAUUAUUAUUAUUUAUAGAAUGCUUUUAAAGUGUACACUUUGCUUUGUAAUAGACCUAUGGUCCUUCCCAUUCUGAUUCAGAAAAAUAUAAUGGGUGAAAUCCUGGCCCCUUUGAAGGCUUUGGAAGUUUUCUCAUUGACCUCACUUAGAUCAGGAUUUCACCCAAUAAAAGGGAUACUCUACCAGGGGUUCAGUGCACUGUGAUCCCUUCUGAAAACAAAAAUUACCACAGGACCCCAGGAGCAGAGGCCAACCCUGAGCCCACCUAAGCUCUGCCACCCCAGGCAGGGGGACGGAACCCCUGGGGCUUCAGCCCUGGGCCCCAGCAAGUCUAACGCCAGCCCUGGCAACCUAUUAAAACGGGGUCGCGACCCACUUUGGAGUCCCAACCCAUAGCUGAGAACCACCGCAGAAAUAUUUCAUGAAUAGGGAGGGAGAUUAUAUAAAAGCAGUAAUUUUGGAGAGAUUUAGAGGAUAAGAGAAGAGGUCAUGCAAUGUAUGAAAUUACUUCUUUAAUAUAAACUUUUAAAGAAAUUUUAGUUAAAAUUAUUUGUUUGCGAAAUCAGAACAAAGCCCCAACUACAUCACGUCAAAUGGAAAGUAAUUCUCUGAGAGAGAGAGAGAGAGAGAGAGUGUGUGUGUGUGUCUGUGUCUGUGUCUGUGUGUCUGUGUGUGUGAGAGAGAGAGAGAGAGAAGGAGAGCACUUUAAGUAGGCCUUUGAACAGCUCUGGAAAAAUCUUCCUCAAUAAAACACUGUUUGUUUCUUUCACAGCUUGA